UACGUUCCCGGGCCUUGUACACACCGCCCGUCACACCACGAAAGUCGGCAACACCCGAAGCCGGUGGCCUAACCCGCAAGGGAGGGAGCCGUCGAAGGUGGGGGCCGGUGAUUGGGGUG
rnacentral:rRNA from 1 species